CUUUGUAGGGAAUUCCGAGACAAAUGCGUAACCGCUGACGGCUCAUCAAUCGGAGCUUUGGAUUGAAAGUUAUGGCGAAUUGAAAUUGGAACAAGGGUUUUAGAUCCUCCUUCUAAGA